rnacentral:rRNA from 1 species
AAGCUCGUAGUUGAAUUUCGGGGUUCUACCGUCGGUCGGGCUACCAAGUCUGUACUGGUGUGUAGAAUUUCUACCUUCUGGAGAACCAUCAUGUUAUUAAUUUAGUGUGGUGGGAAACCAGGACCUUUACCUUGAAAAAAUUAGAGUGUUCAAAGCAGGCUUAUGUCUGAAUACAUUAGCAUGGAAUAAUAGUAUAGGACGGUGGUCCUGUUUUGUUGGUUUCUGAAUCACCGUAAUGAUUAAUAGGGAUAGUUGGG